UCCCAGGUUCAAGCGAUUCUCCUGCCUCAGCCCCUCAAGUAGCUGGGACUACAAGCGCACACCACCACGCCUGACUAAUUUUUUGUAUUUUUUUGUAGAGGCGGGGUUUCACCAUGUUGCCCAGACUGGUCUUGAACUCCUGAGCUUAAGCAAUCCACCUGCCUCGGCCUCCCAAAGUGUUGGGAUCACAGGCGUGAGCCACCGCAUCCGGCCUCAUGUUCUUUUUCAUUAAAGAGAGAAAUCAACUAUUCAGGACCGGCCCCCACCUUUCCUCAGGAGUCAUUUCUGUUCCGCACAGGCCUGCUGAACUGGGUGCUUUAUAUAGGACACUGUCAUCUCUCAAGUACCCAUCUUGGAGGGUACGGACCCCACAUGAGGGUGAGGCUCUCUGCACACUCCAGAGUGAGGACUUUAAUAAUCUAGUGGACUGUACAUGUUGGGAGGGGAAGAGCGGGGUGCCGAGGGUCUGGAGGGAGAAGAAUUGACUGCCCCUUUUGCUCUUGGAGUUAAGCAGAAAUCUAAA
rnacentral:lncRNA from 10 species